GACGAACGCUGGCGGCGUGCUUAACACAUGCAAGUCGAACGGAAAGGCCCUGCUUUUGUGGGGUGCUCGAGUGGCGAACGGGUGAGUAACACGUGAGUAACCUGCCCUUGACUUUGGGAUAACUUCAGGAAACUGGGGCUAAUACCGGAUAGGAGCUCCUGCUGCAUGGUGGGGGUUGGAAAGUUUCUGCGGUUGGGGAUGGACUCGCGGCUUAUCAGCUUGUUGGUGGGGUAGUGGUUUACCAAGGCUUUGACGGGUAGCCGGCCUGAGAGGGUGACCGGCCACAUUGGGACUGAGAUACGGCCCAGACUCCUACGGGAGGCAGCAGUGGGGAAUAUUGCACAAUGGGCGGAAGCCUGAUGCAGCAACGCCGCGUGCGGGAUGACGGCCUUCGGGUUGUAAACCGCUUUCGCCUGUGACGAAGCGUGAGUGACGGUAAUGGGUAAAGAAGCACCGGCUAACUACGUG
rnacentral:rRNA from 1 species